AUUUUGAGAAGAUGGGAGAAAGAGCCACCGUAUAGAAGGCAACAGCGAUGGAGCCACCACAUCGAUCGAAACCGCCGACGGGUUUCAGAAUCUGGUCCAACACAUUUCUCGUGGCGUAUAUUUUCGUUGGAUGUCGAGGCUGAGAAGGUGAUCUCGAAUCUCUUUUCGACGCCGUCAAAUGUCAAAGCCAUUGUGUUGAGGAAAACAAAGAGAGUGAGAAACAAAU
rnacentral:misc_RNA from 1 species